rnacentral:rRNA from 1 species
CCUACGGGAGGCAGCAGUGGGGAAUUUUGGACAAUGGGCGAAAGCCUGAUCCAGCAAUGCCGCGUGAGUGAAGAAGGCCUUCGGGUUGUAAAGCUCUUUUGUCAGGGAAGAAACGGUGAAAGCUAAUAUCUUUUGCUAAUGACGGUACCUGAAGAAUAAGCACCGGCUAACUACGUGCCAGCAGCCGCGGUAAUACGUAGGGUGCAAGCGUUAAUCGGAAUUACUGGGCGUAAAGCGUGCGCAGGCGGUUUUGUAAGUCUGAUGUGAAAUCCCCGGGCUCAACCUGGGAAUUGCAUUGGAGACUGCAAGGCUAGAAUCUGGCAGAGGGGGGUAGAAUUCCACGUGUAGCAGUGAAAUGCGUAGAUAUGUGGAGGAACACCGAUGGCGAAGGCAGCCCCCUGGGUCAAGAUUGACGCUCAUGCACGAAAGCGUGGGGAGCAAACAGGAUUAGAUACCCUGGUAGUCCACGCCCUAAACGAUGUCUACUAGUUGUCGGGUCUUAAUUGACUUGGUAACGCAGCUAACGCGUGAAGUAGACCGCCUGGGGAGUACGGUCGCAAGAUUAAAACNCAAAGGAUUGACGGCUGAGAGNGCGACGACGACGACGAGGGAGGAGG